CCUCUCCGCAAGUGGGCGAAAGCCUGACGGGGCAAUGCCGCGUGGAGGAUGAAGGCCCAAUGGGUCGUAAACUUCUUUAGAUCAGAGACGAAGAAAUGACGGUACCUGAAGAACUAAGCAUCGGCUAAACCCCGUGCCAGCAGCCGCGGUAAGACGGGGGAUGCGAGCGUUAUCCGGAAUGAUUGGGCGUAAAGGGUCCGCAGGUGGCCCGGUCAGUCCGCUGUCAAAGCCUGGGGCUCAACCCUGGAAAGGCGGCGGAGACCACCGGGCUUGAGUCCGGUAGGGGCAGAGGGAAUUCCCGGUGGAGCGGUGAAAUGCGUAGAGAUCGGGAAGAACGCCAAGGGCGAAGGCACUCUGCUAGGCCUGAUUUCGCGACUGACACUCAGGGACGAGAGCCAGGGGAGCGAAUGGGAUUAGAUACCCCAGUAGUCCUGGCCGUAAACGAUGGAUACCAAGCCCUGCGCGUAUCGACCCGGGCAGGGCUGUAGCUAACGCAUGAAGUAUUCCCGCCUGGGGA
rnacentral:rRNA from 1 species